rnacentral:rRNA from 1 species
GACGAACGCUGGCGGCGUGCCUAAUACAUGCAAGUCGAGCGGACGGAUGGGAGCUUGCUCCCAGACCGUCAGCGGCGGACGGGUGAGUAACACGUGGGCAACCUGCCUGUAAGACUGGGAUAACUCCGGGAAACCGGGGCUAAUACCGGAUAACUCUUUCCCUCACAUGAGGGAAAGCUGAAAGAUGGCAUCUCGCUAUCACUUACAGAUGGGCCCGCGGCGCAUUAGCUAGUUGGUGAGGUAACGGCUCACCAAGGCGACGAUGCGUAGCCGACCUGAGAGGGUGAUCGGCCACACUGGGACUGAGACACGGCCCAGACUCCCACGGGAGGCAGCAGUAGGGAAUCUUCCGCAAAGGACGAAAGUCUGACGGAGCAACGCCGCGUGAGUGAUGAAGGUCUUCGGAUCGUAAAACUCUGUUGUCAGGGAAGAACAAGUACCGGAGUAACUGCCGGUACCUUGACGGUACCUGACCAGAAAGCCACGGCUAACUACGUG